CCAUACUCAAAUGAAGAAGCAGAAUAUGUUCUUUUGAUAUAAAUAUAAAGAUUGUAUCAAAUUUCUAUGGAGAAGAGAGAGGAGCAAAUGAUAAAGACUGAGAUUUCCAUGGCAAAUUCCACAUUCAUCACAGAGGAGAUACCCAGUAGUUUUGCUUUAUCAUCCUCAACUCCAACAUCAGCAAGCAUCUUUGACAUGAUGCCAUGUGAUAUUGGUGAUAAAGCCUCUUUAGGCUUCACGGACCUGCUUGAUGGCAACCAAGAUUUUGGCACUUGUUUGUUCGAUUGGUUUCAGCCUCCGAUUGUUCCUCACCAACCCUUGCCUUCUCCGGCGUCCACUGUUCCCGAAUCAUCCGAGGUCUUGAACACUCCGGCCACUCCUAACUCCUCCUCCAUCUCUUCAUCCUCGAAUGAAGCAGGAAAUGAGGCGCAAGCUAAAGCUGGAGAUGAAGAAGAGCAGGAUCAAGAAAAGAACAAGAA
rnacentral:misc_RNA from 1 species